UACGUAGGGGCUAGCGUUAUCCGGAAUUAUUGGGCGUAAAGAGCGCGCAGGUGGUUGAUUAAGUCUGAUGUGAAAGCCCACGGCUUAACCGUGGAGGGUCAUUGGAAACUGGUAGACUUGAGUGCAGAAGAGGGAAGUGGAAUUCCAUGUGUAGCGGUGAAAUGCGUAGAGAUAUGGAGGAACACCAGUGGCGAAGGCGGCUUCCUGGUCUGUAACUGACACUGAGGCGCGAAAGCGUGGGGAGCAAACAGGAUUAGAUACCCGGGUA
rnacentral:rRNA from 1 species